UUGGCAAAACGGAGGAAGGUGGGGAUGACGUCAAAUCAUCAUGCCCCUUACGUUCAGGGCUACACACGUACUACAAUGGCGCAGACAAAGGGAAGCAAUGCCGCGAGGCGGAGCAAAACCCAUAAAAGGCGUCCCAGUUCAGACUGCAGGCUGCAACUCGCCUGCACGAAGUUGGAAUUGCUAGUAAUCGCGGAUCAGCAUGCCGCGGUGAAUACGUUCCCGGGCUUUGUACACACCGCCCGUCAAACCAUGAGAGUUGGCAACACCCGAAGCUCAUAGUCUAACCGCAAGGAGGACGUGAUCGAAGGUGGGGCUAGUGAUUGGGGUU
rnacentral:rRNA from 1 species